AUGGAUAAGAUCCUGAAGUCAUCAUUUUUAGUCCUGGCCCUUCACCUAGCCUGGGUGAGUGGCCAGCAGCAGGACAGACGUGACCAACAGCAGGUGAGACAAAGUCCCCAGUCUCUGACAGUCCGGGAAGGAGGGACUUCAGUUCUAAACUGCACUUAUGAGGACAGCACAUUUGACUACUUCCCAUGGUACCGGCAGUUCCCUGGAGAAGGCCCUACACUUCUGAUAGCCAUACGAUCCGUGUUGAAUAAAAAGGAAGAUGGAAGAUUCACAGUCUUCUUCAGGAAAAGUGAUAAACACUUCUCCUUGCACAUCACAAACUCUCAGCCUGGAGACUCAGCCACCUACUUCUGUGCAGCAAGUACACAGUGA